rnacentral:misc_RNA from 1 species
UCCCCCUUAUAGAGGGCAGUUUCCUGUGAGAAAUUCAACACAGGAUGCAGGUUUCGCUCGUUCACGGACUUAACCGGACACCUCACGGCACGAGCUGACGACAACCGUGCAACACCUGUCUUAGAGCUCCUUGCGGCACUCCCCAGUUUCUUGGGGAUUCUCUAGAUGUCAAUCCCUGGUAAGGUUCUUCGCUUGCUGACGAAUUAAACCACAUGUUCCACCACUUGUGCGAGUCCCCGUCAAUUCCUUUGAGUUUUAGUCUUGCGACCGUACUCCCCAGGCGGCACACUUAACGCGUUAGCUUCGGCACAAGCAGGGUCGAUGCUGCUGAUGCCUAGUGUGCAUCGUUUACGGCGUGGACUAC